rnacentral:rRNA from 1 species
CCUACGGGACGCAGCAGUGGGGAAUAUUGGGCAAUGGGCGCAAGCCUGACCCAGCAACGCCGCGUGAAGGAAGAAGGCUUUCGGGUUGUAAACUUCUUUUCUUGGGGACGAAGAAAGUGACGGUACCCAAGGAAUAAGCCACGGCUAACUACGCGCCAGCAGCCGCGGUAAUACGUAGGUGGCAAGCGUUAUCCGGAAUGAUUGGGCGUAAAGGGUGCGUAGGCGGCCUGCUAAGUCUGGAGUGAAAGGUACCGGCUCAACCGGUACAGGCUCUGGAAACUGGCGGGCUAGAGAGCAGGAGAGGG